GGCUCAGUGGUCUAGUGGCAAAGCGCUCGUCGCGGAGCCAGAAGGUCCUGGGUUUGAUCCCCAACUGGGUCG
rnacentral:tRNA from 1 species